rnacentral:lncRNA from 1 species
GUAACUUCAUUAAUUACCAUUCUAUCAGGCUGUGAUGACAGAAACCUCCUGACAGUCCACCUGAUUUCUGUUCAUGUUGAACUCUUUCCCCUUACAGGUUCAAAACAGCUUUUGUAUUUGACACAUUCAUAUGUUCAUCUUAUGAGAAUAAAAAUGUUUUACUAUGAUUUAAAUGUUAAGCAAUAGAUAAAAUUAUUUUAAGAACGUAUUUUUCCACUUUUAAAAAUCUUAGUGUUGGUCACUAAUCUCUAGGUGCCCACAUUUGCUUAUUAAUGCGUUUAUAAAAUGCCAGUUAUUUAAAAUACAUUUUAAAAGAAUUCUUUAGUAGUUUCACACUUUACUUGAUAUACGUUCAGCUCCUAAGAGUAUUUUAAGGUAGCUAGCUUUGGAAAAUAUUUGCUGAUAUUUUUUGCUUUUCUAUUAAUUAAAUAGAAAUUUAUUGUUUUGUCUCCAAUAUAAUUCCUAUAGUCACUGUGUGUUUAUAGUUUAUAUACCAGAGCCACCCUGCCCUCACAUUUAAAUAUGAGUGACAUCAGGUUACUGAAGACAUCUUGUGAAGCAGCAGCAAUUCAGAUGCAUAUAACCUGUGUCUCGUGGGAUGUGCUGAGGAGGGUAUGGGAAGAAUCAUCCCACGCUCAGGAAGCCGCACCCAUCUGCCAUCUGAUGCUGGACAGGGGAGGGAGGAUGUUGCAUAUUGAAUCACCCAAAAAUUCCAAUUAAUGGUCUCAGGAGAUUCCUGUUGUCUCUUCAUCUCCCUUCAUACCUAGACCAACCCCCAAAGUGUAUUGACGAAGUUUUCCUACUUAUAAUACAAUCUCUACUUUUGAUUAACAUUAAUUGACAUUAAUUUGAAGAAAGAGAUUGUAUCAGGCAUAAGGCAUACUAUGUAUGGAACCAAAUUACCAAUAUAGAUCAUGAAUCCAGAUAAGGAACACGAUCCAGACAGACUUCACGGAGGUUGAGGUAGGUAUUGGAGUGCAAGGUAUGUGAUGGGUACAAAGAGAGGUGAGAACAUCCAAGACAAGAUGGAUCUGUGAGGAGGGACAGAGACAGAAAUGAACAUGGUGAGCCCAAGGAAUGGGGUUGCCAGAUGAGACACAGUAUGCCCAGUGAAAUGUGAAUUUCAGAUAACAAAUACAUUUUAGAAUAAGUGUAUCCUAUCGCAUGGGUGUGUAUGAGGCCUAUUGGAUAGGGAUACUUAUACAAAAAUAUUAUUUGUUGUUUACAUGAAAUUCACAUUGAAUUGGGUGCCUUGUAUUUGGAUUUCUUAUGUCUGGCAACUCUGCCAGGGAAAUGAGCCAAUCAACUUGACAAGAGUAGAGCAGUGAGCGUGUAGAACAAGUGAGAAGUAUCUGGAAGAGGCUGGGGUCAGCCUGGUGGGACUGGAAUGCCAGACAAAGGAAUUAGACUCUAGUUUAAAGAUACCACGGAGCCACCGAGAGGUUUUGAAAAAGAAAAUGAGAUGGAUAAGAUCUGACCAUUUGACGCAGAUUUGCUGGAGUAAGGAGAACAGGUUACUGAGGUCUGACUCUUAUGAAAAGAGAGAGGAACUAAGCAGAGAUUCAGUAGGGAACAAAUUAUCCUGCUUUGAAAACUAACUGGGUAUAGCCCUGGGAAGGGAAGAUGUGUUAAAGAGGGAGAUGUCUUUAAUGGCCCAUUCAAGUCAAAGGCCAAUCAAAGAGACAGCAGAAGGGUAGGAAGUUAAUGAGGAAGAGUUUGGUCACAGACUUAUUACAUUUGAGGCAAUAAUGGACUAGGAAGGUAGAAAUAAUAAGCUCACAGCUGGAAGUGGGAAAUACUGUAGCUUAGCAGGGAGGCAAGGACUGGAAAUAAUACCAACCUUUAUCAAGCACUUAUUUUAUCUCCAUUGUCUUAUUGAAUGCCCAAGGCCACCUAUGGGCAGGUUUCAUUGGUAGCCACAUUUUAUAGAUGAGAAAGCUGAAGUUCAGAGAAUAUAAUUGUCCAUGGUUCAUGACUACAUAAACAUGAGAGACAAUAGAAAAUGGAACCUGGGUGUGUAUGGAGCCAAAGCCAAUGCUUUUGCUAAUUCCCAUGCAGAUUGUUCAGUAUUUUGCUCCAGAUUCACUUUUUCCAUCCGCAAAAAUCUAAACGCACCACUUAUUUAUACUAUAACCCAAUUUUUAACUAGAUUCCUUGUCUUUUAUUGUUCCUAACUUUAGUAGCCCUCGCAGAAUUUUGCACCUUUUGGUUAAUCUCUCUGAGGAAAUAGAAGUAGUUCAUACAUAGAGGUUUCGUUUCUUAUUACUUAUUACCUUAAUUCUUUUUCCCUCGUUUUUCAUUUUCACUUGUUUAUCUGCUGAAAUAAAGGUUAUGCUGAAAAAAGAAUGAAAACAAGAAUGGUGUUAAUCUCCUCUCCCUGUCCCUGGCUGCCCUCUACUGGCAAUACCAGUUAACAACGUUCAUCCUAGCCUGGAGACUGCACAGGCAGUUUAGUACUCUACUGUGCGGUGACAGAGUUCACUGAAUCUCAUUUUUUUUUUUUUUUUCCGUACAGGGGAUUGAGCUCAAGACCUUGUGUUUGUGAGGCAGGCAGCGGCACCACUGAGCUAAAUCCCCAGCCCAAGGGUUCACUGAAUCUCUACAGAGUCAGCUGGGGCCUCUCAGAGAGUUUGGAUACUGCUUAUGCUAGGAGAUUCUAGAAAGAGACUUCAUGAGAUUACAUACACCUUUGCAGCUGAGUGGGCUAAAAGGCAUUUUAAAUAGACUAGUUUUAGUUUUAUCUUUAACUUUCUAGUUACUAAAACUAUUUCACUUGUUUACCCUUUUUAAGGGGUAUGUAGCAGCUGGGGAUGUAGCUCAGUGGUAGAGCGCUUGUCUGGCCUUUUUAGGGCCUAGGUUUGAUCCCUACUACCACCAAAAGAAAGGCAUGCAUGUUUGGUUAUUAGUCUUUUAAUGCACUCCUGUGUUUUGUUAAGAUGGUUUUUGACCUUUUAUUUUAUAUAUGUACUUUAAACUUCACAAUAUAUUUUUUAAAUAAGAAAGGAAAAGUGUAUCUUUUAGGCCUCUAUCCUGAAGAAUCAUAGAUUCAGAUAAAAAAUGUAUGUAAAACAGUAUUUGUAACAGAUACACUUUGAAACUAGCCUGAACAUACAAAAACAGAGGAAUUGCUAAAUAAUAUUCUGCAAUGUGGAAUUUUACAUAGUCAUGAAAUUACAUUAAAGUAUUUAGUAACAUUAGAGAGUGUUUGUAUUAAUGUUAAGUGAGAAAGUAAAGGCUAAAAAAUUACAUCCAUGAUGUUAUCCCAUUCAAGUUAAGAGCUAAACAUUAAUAUACUAAAACAUUAACAAUAGGAAUUUCUGGUCAGUAGGAUAAUGGAGACUUUUAUUUUCCAUUUUGUGUUCAGUGUAAAUAAGCAUACACUGCCUUACAAUCAGGAACAAAAACAUGAUAAAAAGUAUGUUUUUAAAAAGUGGAGAGCUAAGUCUCUGCUCUAAUUUCUUGCUGACAAUGUUUGUGCUAAUUCAGCGCCAUUUACAGCCUUCUUGCCUGGCAAAGAGCUAUAUCCUGUUUGUGACAGCAUAAUUGAUUGUAAUGGAAAAGAUUAUGAUGCACUAGCCUGGUCUAUGACUUCACUGCGUUCACUGGCAACAGGAAACAAAGAUACACACAAAUACUUUUUUCAUAAUUGUUUUAGUAAUAAUUGACAAUUGGAGGAAAUGAAUGACAGAAAACAAUUAUGGGCAGACAAGAUGGUCAGCAAAUCAGGCUGGGAAAUGCAACGGAGCCAGUCCAAGCUUUAUUCAUACAAUGAUUUCACAACAUUACAAAGAUAUUAUUGUUUUGUUUUCAAUCUACUCCUGAAAUCACUAUUGUUUUUACCAACAGUUACACAAUAUUUUGCUGGCAGCACUGACUCCCAAUAUGCUUUUAAUUCAGUAAUCCAGUAAUCCCACAUCAGGGAUUUGGUGUUGAAUUUUUAUGCUGAUUACUAUCCAGGAUCAGAGUGAACUUCUCCUUGCGGUCAACAAUGUUGCUGUCAUUUCCUUGCCUCUGAUUUGCUGCCUGUUCCCCAAACACUGACUUUUUAAAGCCUUGUUUUCCUUUAAAUUUUAAACAAACGAAUUUUUGUUUCUAUUUCUGUAAAUGAUCCCUCGGGUUCAUGUUUAGCAGCAAUGGACAAAAGGAAAAACAAAAACUCAAAAUAAAUGAGGAUGUUUCACUAUCCAGUUUUCAUGUUCUGAAAUGGGCAUAAUUAAAAACUUCUUAGAUGAAAAUAAGUAAUACAUUCUCACCUUAGAAAGAGUUAAGAUAGGCAUUAUACUGCAGGACCUUUUGCAGUACAAUCUCUUUGUCUCUGUUAGUGUUAAAUCCAUUUAUCUUAAUUAUAGUAUCUGUCUCCUCUCUGGCUUGUAUCCACAGUUGUCUUGUCAGGUGCUGUUAAAAUUCUGUGGAUGGGAGAGUUAAACAUGUGUGAGCAGUUACAACCUUUAUUUCAAAUUAUGUGUGCCUCUGGCUAACCUGAUUUGGAGUAAAACUCUGCAGCAGUACUGACUUCUAAUCUUAAAGACUACUUACUGGUCAUACCAUAUAUUGAGGAGGUCCUAGACCACACUGUGGAAUAGAAAUAUAAGGUAUCAGCUAAAAUGGAAUAGCUGAAAGGAAGCUGAGAAUUGACAGUUUUUGAAAUAUGGCCUAUUAGACAAUCCAACUCUUCAUUUAGGCUGAGUACCUUUGAAUUCUUCAACUGACGGUAAGAGUAAUAGAGGUUUAAAAAAUUUCCAGUUUUUGAAAUCUGGAUUAUAUGUUUGUAAAAAUAUUUCAUCAUCAUAUGUUCAAGUGAAUUUACACCUAGGAAUAAAUUCUGUUCCAUUGUCUAAGACUAGCUUUCUGAAAGUAUUACAGAUUUUCUGCUUAAUGCUACAUGAAACAUAGCGCAACGAAAAAAUCUCUAGCAAUUAAUGCACACACAGAGCUAAACAUUGUGACUAUUUGCUGAUAUCCUUGCUGCAUUUUACAUUGCUUUACUUGAAGGUUAGAAAGCAUGCUUCAAUAAUCUUAUGUAACUAUUAUGCCCCGGGACUCUCAUGCCAGUCAGCUGGGGUGAUAAAGAUAGCUCUGUGUACUAAAUAUAGAGACACGAAAAUAGAGCUGGUGAAAGUGGACAAAACCAGGAGACGUGAUAGGCUCUUAUGCCUCCUCCAGUGGCUGAAACCUGCUAAUACUGGCUUCUGAAGUCCUGGCAGCAAGUUGCAGCCAGCAGGAACAAUCAUCUUUUGGGUUCAUUGCUUACUCCAUGAGGCUUUGAUUAUGAAGCUAGAUUUAAGGCAGUCAGAAAAAUUCUAAAAUCAAAACAAAAGUUAGACAUUAACAAUAUAAAUAAUGACCAUUCACUGAGUGAUUUACAAAUUGAUAAUGCUCCAGAAACUUGAGAAUUUUCUUGGCCCUCUGAAUUCAUUUUCCAUCCUCCCAAAAGAAACCAAGUUAUAAAUAGCGAGUAGGUAUGUGCACCCAGAAUGCCAUAUUUCUACAGUGAAAUUUUUACAUUGUGUUUAUAAAGUUCUUGAUUAAUAAAUUAUUAAAAAUGUGUACAAUGGUUAAAUUAUUAUAAUGCAUUUACAAUGCGAC